AAACUCCUCCCCAAGGCAGCCUCAGAGCAGGUCAUACAAUUGAUGCUGAGGUGAGAGACUUCUAAAGACUCACCUUUCUGCCUCCUCCCAAGGCCCCUGGUGUCCCCAACUCACCAGUCCUGAUGUCAGUAGGUGACUCCCAACCACCAGGCCCAAAGCCCAGUACCGUCUCCUCUCACAGGCAUCAAAGAACACAACUCCCCAAAAGGCUCCCGGGUUCGCCCCAGUUCCUCCAGCCCUUGCCGGACCUCUCUCUUCGGUGCCCCCCGCGUCUCCCCGACCCCCUACUCACC